rnacentral:rRNA from 1 species
AUGAGGAUCAUGGUGCGGACGCUGCGCGGGGACCGGGCGGCGCUGGACGUGGACGGCGCGGCCAAGACCGUGGCGCAGGCCAAGGGCGUGGUCAUGGCCCGGGAGCGCGUCCCCGUGGCCAUGCAGCGCCUCUUCUUCGCCGGCUGCCACCUCGACGACGACGACCGGACACUCGCCAGCUACGGCGUCCAGCACGACUCCGUCCUCUUCCUCGGCCUCCGCCUCCGCGCCGCCGACACCACCCCGUGCCAGGACCAGAUGCAUAGGUUGCAGGUGCCGGCCGGAUCGAUGACCGCGAAGCAAGAAGUUCUGCAUCAGCAGCAGGUGCAUGUCCAUGACCAUGGCCCCGAGGGCGCGAACGGCGGCGUCGACGACGAGCCGGAGAAGGCCAAGUCCAGGAAGCUGCCGUCGCGGCGCGUGCUCCGCAAGAUCCUCUCGAGGCUGCACGUGGACGCGUGGACGAGGCAGCACGACACCAAGCUGCUGGACCUGCUGCAGCGCCACACGGCGGGACGAGGCGGCGGCGUGGGCGACCUGACCGGCGAGGACUGGUCGGCCAUCCGCGCCGAGCUGAACGCGGCCACCGGGUCCGGGUUCCCCGUGGAGGAGCUGCAGCGGCGGGUGGGCGAGUUCCGGCGCGAGGUCGAGGCCGUGGGCCGGAUCAAGAGCCACCCGCGGUUCGCCUACGACCCGCGCCGCCGGGUCGUCGUCGCCGAGGAGGCCGACUGGAAGCGCUACACGCUGGAGAACCCCGAUGCGGCGGCGUACGAGGGGAGGAGCCCGCGUCUGGCUCUGACCCGAGCAGUUUUCGCCGGAGACGGGCAUGGCGGCGCCGGCGCGAAAAGCCGGGAGUCGCGGCCGAGGAGGUACCUGAACAAGUUGCUGCGGAGUUUUGGGCUUCGAUGUAAGCUGUAG